GGGCUGUGUUCUUUUAGGAAAAUUGUCUUGGAAUAAUUCUUGGGAAUCGGCUAAGAUGCAGGUCGAGAGGCAUCUCGUUAGGUGUCUGGACUCUUGAAGUGGAGUGGUUACUAGGUUAUUUUGUUAUGCUAUGAUGUAUAUAUAUGUACUUAGCUUUCUCUCCACAUAACUUAUUCUUUUUGAUCCUCCUAGAGGUGUAUGGAGAGGUAGGAUUUUGUUUAUGUACAUUUGGGUUUUGGAUAUGUAUAUAUAUGUAUA